rnacentral:rRNA from 1 species
GUGUCAGCAGCCGCGGUAAGACGAACCGAGCGAACGUUAUUCGGAAUCACUGGGCUUAAAGGGCGCGUAGGCGGGCCAUCAAGUCAGGGGUGAAAGCCCCCAGCUCAACUGGGGAAGUGCCUUUGAUACUGGUGGUCUCGAGGGGGAUAGGGGCAUGCGGAACUUCCGGUGGAGCGGUGAAAUGCGUAGAUAUCGGAAGGAACACCGGUUGCGAAAGCGGCGUGCUGGAUCCCUUCUGACGCUGAGGCGCGAAAGCCAGGGGAGCGAACGGGAUUAGAAACCCUCGUAGUCC